AAACACGGACCAAGGAGUCUAACACGUGUGCGAGUAUUUGGGUGGCAAACCCUGAUGCGCAAUGAAAGUAAAGGCGUCCGUUGGGGCGCUGCGGUGGGAAGGAUGGAGGGCGAAUUUUUCCCUCCUCCUGCACCAUCGCCCGAUCGAUUGCUCGCGAGAGAUUUGAGGACGAGCACGCUUGUUGGGACCCGAAAGAUGGUGAA
rnacentral:rRNA from 1 species